rnacentral:tRNA from 1 species
GCGCAGGUGGCGGAAUUGGCAGACGCGCAAGAAUGAGGGUCUUGUGCCGUUUUCAGGCGUGGGGGUUCAACUCCCCCCCUGCGCA